GGUUGCACAGUGCUUCCUUCUUCCCGAAAGCCACCUUUGUGUGGGGUGAGGUUGUCUCUGAAUAUUGGUGGACUCAUGGCAGAACAGAUAGAGCGACUGCCAGUUCCAUCCAAGAAACAACUUGGAUUUCAGCAACUGCCCACUUGAGGCGCCUACGCAGCACUGGCCAUAGUGCUUGCUCUGGGGGAUGGGCAGACACUGAGGUGAGGAAAAGACAGAGAAAAAGCAAAGACCGGAAGGAGAAAACACAAACUCAAACGCUCAGAGCUAGAUGACAUACACAUAGACCCAGAGGUGCAAAUACACAGGUCACACAUUCACAGAGACACACCUGAGAGGACUGUCACACAGUGACAGCCAAGGACUCAGCUUGGAUCCCUCCCUGCCUGAGAGCCAGAGGACACGCUAAGCCUGGUGAAAGGUUCCCUCCUGGACAAGUGCCCCAAACAUCUGUACUAAGACAUUUGCUUCCUCCUCAUCUCAUUCGUGAAAGCUUCAGAUGGCUGGGUAGUUGAUGCCUGCGGGGUCUCCCAUCCUGCCUGUCACACCAGGCCAGCAUAACCUGAUACUAAGGACUAGGGAUUAAACCCAGGACCUUUCCACUGAUCUACGUGCCAGCACCUCUUUAGUAUUUAUUUUGAGAAAGAGUUUUGCUAAAUCAACCAGUUGUCCAGACUGGGCUUGAGCUUGGAAGCCUCCUGCCUCAAUCUCCCAGAGUGCUGGGUCUAUAUGCAUGGACCUCUGUGCCAGACUAGCAACUAUUUUGAAAGCAUAGGCUCCCUAGGCUGUAACUUCUGUGGGAAAAGAGGUAAGAGUUCAGGAUCCAGUAUACAGCAUACUGACUUCUCUGUGAAACUAGGUCUUAACUGUGCUGACUAUACAAACACCAAAAAUGGAAACGAUGUGUAGUGAUGAAUGUGUUAAUUAAUUUGAUUGUGGUGACUACUUCACGGUGUAUUUGCCUAUCAAGCCAUCACAUUGUAUACCUUAAAUAUAUAUAAUUUCUGUUGAUUAUACUUUAAUAGGGCUAGGAAAAUUCAAAAUGUAAAAUAAAUAAGAAAACAGAUUAGA